rnacentral:rRNA from 1 species
GACGUAGGGCGCGAGCGUUGUCCGGAUUUAUUGGGCGUAAAGAGCUCGUAGGCGGCUUGUCGCGUCGAAUGUGAAAACCCACGGCUCAACUGUGGGCUUGCAUUCGAUACGGGCAGGCUAGAGUUCGGUAGGGGAGACGUGGAAUUCCUGGAUGUGAGCGGUGAAAUGACGCAGAUAUCAGGAGGAACACCGGUGGCGAAGGCGGGUCUCUGGGCCGAUACUGACGCUGAGGAGCGAAAGCGUGGGGAGCGAACAGG